AACCUUAUGGACCUGCGGGCGUAUACCUGCGGAGGGAUCAUUACACAAAUAACAUAUGAAGGCUUGUACGCGGCUGUGCCCUUCUGGGUGCAGCGUCUGCUGCGGCUGGAUUAUUUAUUUUCACCCUUGUCUUUUGCGCACUUGUUGUUUCCUGGGCGGGUUCGCCCGCCACCAGGACCACAUGAUAAACCUUUUUUAUGCAGUUGCAAUCAGCGUCAGUACAACAAAAUGUAAAUCAUU
rnacentral:misc_RNA from 1 species